CAGCAGCUUCAGCUGAGCUGUCAAUCAGCAGCAGCAGCCUUAUCUGUCCGCCGCAGGGGCUGAUGGGAGGUCUGAGGACCCGUUAGAAACCACGCGGCCCUCGUCUGAUCUCACAGCUCGUCCUUGUUUGGCCUCAGCUGCAUCAGAGCGCCACUUCUCCCCAGGUUCACCAGAGGAAACACCACUGCACACAAUGCUUUUCCUCCCAGCUGCUGCUCUGUGCUGUCUGUGUUCAGCGCUGGUUGCCAUGGCAGCAGACCUGAUUCAGGAGGAUUUAACAUGGACCAGAGAGAGUUGGUGAAAUGGUUUCCUUCAGCUGUCGAGGAACUGACCAGUGUGACAGAGAUAAUGUAUUCUGGUACCAGAAGAAAGACACAGAAACAUUCACAAGGAUUCUAGAUAUUAACAGGAGUAAUGGUCGAGUUUUUUCAGGUUACAAUCAUCCUCAGGAAGAUGAUUUCUCAGCUUUGAGAAAACAGAAAGGCUGUGAGUUGGUGAUCACAAAUAUUAAACUCCUCCAUUCAGCCACCUACUACUGCUCCUGUUUGGUCUCCACAGUGAGAAAUGAUCCGUGCAGCCUGAACAAAAACCAGCAGAUGUCAAACAGUGUUUGUGACAGGAAGAGAGCAGUAAACCACAGCCCAGGUUCACAUAUUUCACCUCCAAAAGCCUUACGGGAUGUGUGAUUCAUAGGUGUGUGUAUAGUUAAUAUUCACCUGUAAGACUUUUCUAUCUACUUACAUCUCUAUAAUUUCUAUAAACACUGUACACUGUAUGUGAACAUCAUUGAGCUUCCUGGUUCAUAAGUUGGUUUCAGCUGACUCAUUCAGCAGCAGACAGGUUUUUGUAUUAGUGUAUUUCACUGUGGGAGGAUCCAGUGGGUCCAACAGAUACCUGAUAUUUGGCUCUGGAACUAAACUCUUUGUAACAGGUAAGAUUAAACAUCAGUUUUCCUUC